rnacentral:rRNA from 1 species
GGGAAUGGCGGCUGCUUACCAUGCAAGUCGACGAUGAUGCCCAGCUUGCUGGGCGGAUUAGUGGCGAACGGGUGAGUAAUACGUGAGUAACCUGCCCUUGACUCUGGGAUAAGCCUGGGAAACUGGGUCUAAUACUGGAUACUACGCCCCAUCGCAUGGUGGGGGGUGGAAAGGGUUCUACUGGUUUUGGAUGGGCUCACGGCCUAUCAGCUUGUUGGUGGGGUAAUGGCUCACCAAGGCGACGACGGGUAGCCGGCCUGAGAGGGUGACCGGCCACACUGGGACUGAGACACGGCCCAGACUCCUACGGGAGGCAGCAGUGGGGAAUAUUGCACAAUGGGCGGAAGCCUGAUGCAGCGACGCCGCGUGAGGGAUGACGGCCUUCGGGUUGUAAACCUCUUUCAGUAGGGAAGAAGCGAGAGUGACGGUACCUGCAGAAGAAGCGCCGGCUAACUACGUGCCAGCAGCCGCGGUAAUACGUAGGGCGCAAGCGUUGUCCGGAAUUAUUGGGCGUAAAGAGCUCGUAGGCGGUUUGUCGCGUCUGCUGUGAAAGCCCGGGGCUCAACCCCGGGUCUGCAGUGGGUACGGGCAGACUAGAGUGCAGUAGGGGAGACUGGAAUUCCUGGUGUAGCGGUGAAAUGCGCAGAUAUCAGGAGGAACACCGAUGGCGAAGGCAGGUCUCUGGGCUGUUACUGACGCUGAGGAGCGAAAGCAUGGGGAGCGAACAGGAUUAGAUACCCUGGUAGUCCAUGCCGUAAACGUUGGGCACUAGGUGUGGGGGACAUUCCACGUUCUCCGCGCCGUAGCUAACGCAUUAAGUGCCCCGCCUGGGGAGUACGGCCGCAAGGCUAAAACUCAAAGGAAUUGACGGGGGCCCGCACAAGCGGCGGAGCAUGCGGAUUAAUUCGAUGCAACGCGAAAACCUUACCAAGGCUUGACAUUCACCGGGACCGUCCCAGAGAUGGGGUUUCCCUUCGGGGUCGGUGGACAGGUGGUGCAUGGUUGUCGUCAGCUCGUGUCGUGAGAUGUUGGGUUAAGUCCCGCAA